rnacentral:rRNA from 1 species
AUUGGAUUGAGACAACGUACAAACCUUAUCGAUAAACAAUUGGAGGGCAAGUCUGGUGCCAGCAGCCGCGGUAAUUCCAGCUCCAAUAGCGUAUAUUAACGUUGUUGCAGUUAAAAAGCUCGUAGUUGAAAUGAAGGGUGGUUGUGUAAUGAAUACAUUCGUGUAUUUUGUUAUUCAACCACCCUCCUUCUAAAUUCGAUAUAUGAGUAUUAAUUUACUUGUAUAUGGUUUUAGACAUUUACUGUGAGAAAAUUAGAGUGUUCAAAGCAGGCAUAUGCUUGAAUAUAUUAGCAUGGAAUAAUCAUGUAUGAUUUUCAUGAUGUAUUUGAUUGGUUUGGUUGAUGAGAAUAAGAUUAAAAGGGACAGUUGGGGGUAUUCAUAUUCAAUAGUCAGAGGUGAAAUUCUCGGAUUUAUGGAAGAUGAACAAGUGCGAAAGCAUUUACCAAGGAUGUUUUCAUUAAUCAAGAACGAAAGUUAGGGGAUCGAAGAGGAU